AAUGUAAUAACGUAAGGGAAAAAAAUGAUAUUACCUUACUAUUAGUGUUGUCCAAAAUUGGUGCCAGAAGACUCGGUAAGGCCAAAAACGCAAACGUUAGUCGUCCUAAUCAGGCGUAAAGGGUAUGUAGGCUGCUUUAAAAUUUUUAUAUUUMURGCUAAUGUAAAUUUUUUUUAAUUUCGAAUUUUAUAGAAAUUARAAUAUUARAAUUUUUCAGAAGUAUAAGAUGAAUUAAAGCUAGAAUCAAAUGGAGGAUAAGUCAAAUARUACCUAGUGUAGGGUUUAAAUCUGUUGAUAUUAGGUAGAGUACUAAUGGUGAAAGCUUUUUAUCCAGAAWUGAUUGACGCUGAGAAACGAAGGUGAGAAUAGGAAAUAGGAUUAGAUACCCAGAUACCUCUCACAGUCAACGMUGAAUGGUAGUUGUUADUUAGUUUUAUUUAACUGAUAACGAGGUUAACAC
rnacentral:rRNA from 1 species